ACGUCAAGUCCUCAUGGCCCUUACACGCUGGGCUACACACGUGCUACAAUGGCGGUGACAGUGAGCAGCUAACCCGCGAGGGUAUGCUAAUCUCCAAAAGCCGUCUCAGUUCGGAUUGCUCUCUGCAACUCGGGAGCAUGAAGGCGGAAUCGCUAGUAAUCGCGGAUCAGCAUGCCGCGGUGAAUACGUUCCCAGGCCUU
rnacentral:rRNA from 1 species